rnacentral:rRNA from 1 species
AACGAACGCUGGCGGCGUGCCUAACACAUGCAAGUCGAGCGGGAAAGCCCGCAAGGGUGAGUACAGCGGCGCACGGGUGCGUAACACGUGGGUAAUCUGCCCAGAAGCCCGGAAUAACCUCCCGAAAGGGAAGCUAAUACCGGAUAAGACCACGGGAACUUCGGUUCCUGCGGGAAAAGGUGGCCUCUGCAUGCAAGCUAUCACUUCUGGAUGAGCCCGCGGCCCAUCAGCUCGUUGGCGGGGUAAUGGCCCACCAAGGCUACGACGGGUAGCUGGUCUGAGAGGACGAUCAGCCACACUGGAACUGAGACACGGUCCAGACUCCUACGGGAGGCAGCAGUGGGGAAUCUUGCGCAAUGGGCGAAAGCCUGACGCAGCAACGCCGCGUGUGUGAUGAAGGUCUUCGGAUCGUAAAGCACUGUCGGGAGGGACGAAUAAAAGCCGGGUGAACAAUCCGGUUCGAUGACGGUACCUCCAAAGGAAGCACCGGCUAACUCUGUGCCAGCAGCCGCAGUAACAC